AUUGAACGCUGGCGGCAGGCCUAACACAUGCAAGUCGAACGAGUGGCGGACGGGUGAGUCAUGUGUGGGAAACUGCCCGCUGGAGGGGGAUAACUACUGGAAACGGUAGCUAAUACCGCAUACCAUCGGAUGUGCCCAGAUGGGAUUAGCUAGGAGGUGGGGUAAUGGCUCACCUAAGCGACGAUCCCUAGCUGGUCUGAGAGGAUGACCAGCCACACUGGAACUGAGACACGGUCCAGACUCCGACGCAAGGCGGCAGUGGGGAAUAAUGAACAAUGGGCGCGAGCCUGAUGCAGCCAUGCCGCAUGUAUGAAGAAGGCCUUCGGGUUGUAAAGUACGUUCAGCGAGGAGUCGUUACUCGCAGGAGAAGGACCGGCUAACACCGUGCCAGCAGCCGCGGUAAUAC
rnacentral:rRNA from 1 species